UUAACUAAGACACCUAUGAACCACAACAAC
rnacentral:piRNA from 1 species